rnacentral:rRNA from 1 species
CUCAGGAUGAACGCUGGCGGCGUGCCUAAUACAUGCAAGUCGAGCGAACAGAUAAGGAGCUUGCUCCUUUGACGUUAGCGGCGGACGGGUGAGUAACACGUGGGUAACCUACCUAUAAGACUGGGACAACUUCGGGAAACCGGAGCUAAUACCGGAUAAUAUGUUGAACCGCAUGGUUCAAUAGUGAAAGAUGGUUUUGCUAUCACUUAUAGAUGGACCCGCGCCGUAUUAGCUAGUUGGUGAGGUAACGGCUCACCAAGGCAACGAUACGUAGCCGACCUGAGAGGGUGAUCGGCCACACUGGAACUGAGACACGGUCCAGACUCCUACGGGAGGCAGCAGUAGGGAAUCUUCCGCAAUGGGCGAAAGCCUGACGGAGCAACGCCGCGUGAGUGAUGAAGGUCUUAGGAUCGUAAAACUCUGUUAUUAGGGAAGAACAAACGUGUAAGUAACUGUGCACGUCUUGACGGUACCUAAUCAGAAAGCCACGGCUAACUACGUGCCAC